UACGGAGGGUGCGAGCGUUAUCCGGAAUCACUGGGUUUAAAGGGUGCGCAGGCGGCGCGCUAAGUCAGGGGUGAAAUCCCCCCGCUCAACGGGGGAACUGCCCUUGAUACUGGCGCGCUCGGAUUGGCGCGAGGCAGGCGGAAUGUGGCAUGUAGCGGUGAAAUGCAUAGAUAUGCCAUAGAACACCGAUUGCGAAGGCAGCCUGCCAGAGCCAUAUCGACGCUGAGGCACGAAAGCGUGGGGAGCGAACAGG
rnacentral:rRNA from 1 species